rnacentral:lncRNA from 1 species
GAGCAGGCUCUUCAGUCUUUAUCUAUGGUUAGGCCAACGGUUCUUCUUAUGUGUUAGGUAAAGUCUGGCUGGGGGAUCCUUUAGGGCUCUAGUUAAAAGCUUGAAGGUCUCAGAGUGGCUAGGACAAGUUGCGUAGCAGCUCCAGUUUGGGAUGAUAGACUGCGGACAGCUGCUGGCAACAAUGACCUUUUGAAAUUUGUUCACUAACCUCAAAAAGUAUUAGUUUCUCUCGUCUUUAUCUAUGAUCUAUGGAUGUAGUGCCUUUGACUGCACCCCAAGAUAUAAAACUAGCCCCUUACGGGUCUUUUUCUUACGGAAAUAAAUCAAAAAUAUACGCAACGACUAACGA